AGCGAACGCUGGCGGCAGGCUUAACACAUGCAAGUCGAACGGGCAUCUUCGGAUGUCAGUGGCAGACGGGUGAGUAACACGUGGGAACGUACCCUUCGGUUCGGAAUAACUCAGGGAAACUUGAGCUAAUACCGGAUACGCCCUUUUGGGGAAAGGUUUACUGCCGAAGGAUCGGCCCGCGUCUGAUUAGCUUGUUGGUGGGGUAACGGCCUACCAAGGCGACGAUCAGUAGCUGGUCUGAGAGGAUGAUCAGCCACACUGGGACUGAGACACGGCCCAGACUCCUACGGGAAGCAGCAGUGGGGAAUAUUGGACAAUGGGCGCAAGCCUGAUCCAGCCAUGCCGCGUGAGUGAUGAAGGCCUUAGGGUUGUAAAGCUCUUUUGUCCGGGACGAUAAUGACGGUACCGGAAGAAUAAGCCCCGGCUAACUUCGUG
rnacentral:rRNA from 1 species